rnacentral:sRNA from 1 species
UACUGAUCGAGAGGUAAUACAUUCACAUGGUUCACAAAUCAAAACGCUCUAACAAGGUGCUCCAGGAACUGAUUUUCUUCCUGCACCGCCUGACCUCAGUGAGCAGGGACUAUGCCGUGGUGCUGAAUCAGCUGGGAGCAAGAGACGCCAUCUCCAAGGCCCUGGAAAAGCACCUGGGAAAGCUGGAGCUGGCUCAGGAGCUGCGGGACAUGGUGUUCAAGUGUGAGAAGCAUGCCCACCUCUACCGCAAACUCAUCACCAACAUCCUGGGAGGCUGCAUCCAGAUGGUGUUGGGCCAGAUCGAAGACCACAGACGAACCCACCGGCCCAUCAACAUCCCUUUCUUUGAUGUGUUCCUCAGAUACCUGUGCCAGGGCUCCAGUGUGGAAGUGAAGGAGGACAAGUGCUGGGAGAAGGUAGAGGUGUCCUCCAACCCGCACCGGGCCAGCAAGCUGACGGACCGCAACCCCAAGACCUACUGGGAGUCCAACGGCAGCGCCGGCUCCCACUACAUCACUCUGCACAUGCGCCAGGGCAUCCUCAUCAGGCAACUGACUCUGCUUGUGGCUAGUGAGGACUCGAGCUACAUGCCGGCCCGAGUGGUGGUGUGCGGGGGUGAUAGCACUAGCUCUCUUCACACGGAACUCAACUCGGUGAAUGUGAUGCCCUCUGCCAGCCGGGUGAUCCUCCUGGAGAACCUGACCCGCUUCUGGCCCAUCAUCCAGAUCCGCAUAAAGCGCUGCCAGCAG